rnacentral:rRNA from 1 species
GACGAACGCUGGCGGCGUGCUUAACACAUGCAAGUCGAACGGAAAGGCCCUGCUUUUGUGGGGUGCUCGAGUGGCGAACGGGUGAGUAACACGUGAGUAACCUGCCCUUGACUUUGGGAUAACUUCAGGAAACUGGGGCUAAUACCGGAUAGGAGCUCCUGCUGCAUGGUGGGGGUUGGAAAGUUUCGGCGGUUGGGGAUGGACUCGGGGCUUAUCAGCUUGUUGGUGGGGUAGUGGCUUACCAAGGCUUUGACGGGUAGCCGGCCUGAGAGGGUGGCCGGCCACAUUGGGACUGAGAUACGGCGCAGACUCCUACGGGAGGCAGCAGUGGGGAAUAUUGCACAAUGGGCGGAAGCCUGAUGCAGCAACGCCGCGUGCGGGAUGACGGCCUUCGGGUUGUAAACCGCUUUCGCCUGUGACGAAGCGUGAGUGACGGUAAUGGGUAAAGAAGCACCGGCUAACUACGUG